UACGAAGGGGGCUAGCGUUGCUCGGAAUCACUGGGCGUAAAGCGCACGUAGGCGGAUUGUUAAGUCAGGGGUGAAAUCCUGGAGCUCAACUCCAGAACUGCCUUUGAUACUGGCGAUCUCGAGUCCGGGAGAGGUGAGUGGAACUGCGAGUGUAGAGGUGAAAUUCGUAGAUAUUCGCAAGAACACCAGUGGCGAAGGCGGCUCACUGGACCAUAACUGACGCUGAGGCGCGAAAGCUAGGGGAGCAAACAGG
rnacentral:rRNA from 1 species